AUACGGAGGACGCGAGCGUUAUCCGGAUUCAUUGGGUUUAAAGGGUGCGCAGGCGGCCGUGCAAGUCAGCGGUGAAAGCCCGGGGCUCAACCCCGGAAGUGCCGUUGAUACUGCAUGGCUGGAAUGCGGUCGAGGCGGAGGGCACGUGGCGGGGAGACGGGAAAUGCGUAGAUAUGCGACAGCACGCCGAUCGCGGAGGCAGCUGCCCAGGCCGGCAUUGACGCUCGGACACGAAGUCGUGGGGAGCGAGCAGGAUUAGAUCCCCUGGUGGUCCACGCCGUCAACGAUGAGCGCUCGUCGUCGGCGGCAGACAGUCGGCGGCCAAGCGAAAGCGAUAAGAGCCCCGCCUGGGAGUACGGUCGCAAGGCUGAAACUUAAAGGAAUUGACGGGG
rnacentral:rRNA from 1 species